rnacentral:tRNA from 1 species
CCGACCUUAGCUCAGUUGGAAGAGCAGCUGACUGUAGCGAUAUUAACGCUAAAUUUGCAAUGUAACAAUUGGUAUCAGCGGGUCAUCCGUUCGAUUCGGAUAGGUCGGA